GUUGUAUGGUUAAGUGACUAAGCGUACACGGUGGAUGCCUUGGCAGUCAGAGGCGAUGAAAGACGUAGUAACUUGCGAUAAGCCCAGAUUAGGUAGUAACAACCAUUUGAGUCUGGGAUUUCUGAAUGGGGAAACCCACGUGCAUAAGCACGUAUUCUUACCUGAAUACAUAGGGUAAGGAGGCGAACCGGGGGAACUGAAACAUCUAAGUACCCCGAGGAAAAGAAAUCAACCGAGAUUCCGAAAGUAGCGGCGAGCGAAAUUGGACUAGCCCUUAAGCUUUACACGCGUUAGACGAACGGUCUGGAAAGUCCGACGAUACAGGGUGAUAGUCCCGUAGUUGACGACGUGUGUUCAGUGAAAUCGAGUAGGGCGGGACACGUGAUAUCCUGUCUGAAUAUGGGGGGACCAUCCUCCAAGGCUAAAUACUACUGACUGACCGAUAGUGAACCAGUACCGUGAGGGAAAGGCGAAAAGAACCCCUGUGAGGGGAGUGAAAUAGAACCUGAAACCGUGUACGUACAAGCAGUAGGAGCAGGCUUGUCCUGUGACUGCGUACCUUUUGUAUAAUGGGUCAGCGACUUAUAUUCAGUGGCAAGGUUAACCAUCUAGGGGAGCCGUAGGGAAACCGAGUCUUAACUGGGCGUUCAGUCUCUGGAUAUAGACCCGAAACCAGGUGAUCUAGCCAUGGGCAGGUUGAAGGUUGAGUAACAUCAACUGGAGGACCGAACCGACUAAUGUUGAAAAAUUAGCGGAUGACUUGUGGCUAGGGGUGAAAGGCCAAUCAAACCUGGAGAUAGCUGGUUCUCCCCGAAAGCUAUUUAGGUAGCGCCUCGGACGAAUACUACUGGGGGUAGAGCACUGUUAAGGCUAGGGGGUCAUCCCGACUUACCAACCCUUUGCAAACUCCGAAUACCAGUAAGUACUAUCCGGGAGACACACGGCGGGUGCUAACGUCCGUCGUGGAGAGGGAAACAACCCAGACCGCCAGCUAAGGUCCCAAAUUACUACUAAGUGGGAAACGAUGUGGGAAGGCUCAGACAGCCAGGAUGUUGGCUUAGAAGCAGCCAUCAUUUAAAGAAAGCGUAAUAGCUCACUGGUCGAGUCGGCCUGCGCGGAAGAUGUAACGGGGCUAAGUAGUAAACCGAAGCUGCGGCAAUAUACUUUUGUAUAUUGGGUAGGGGAGCGUUCUGUAAGCGGUUGAAGGUGUGUGGUAACGCAUGCUGGACGUAUCAGAAGUGCGAAUGCUGACAUGAGUAACGAUAAAGGGGGUGAAAAACCUCCUCGCCGGAAGACCAAGGGUUCCUGUCCAACGUUAAUCGGGGCAGGGUAAGUCGACCCCUAAGGCGAGGCCGAAAGGCGUAGUCGAUGGGAAACGGGUUAAUAUUCCCGUACUUCUUACAAUUGCGAUGGGGGGACGGAGAAGGCUAGGUGGGCCUGGCGACGGUUGUCCAGGUUCAAGUGCGUAGGCUUAAGAGUUAGGUAAAUCCGGCUCUUUCUAAGGCUGAGACACGACGUCGAGCAUCUACGGAUGUGAAGUCAUUGAUGCCAUGCUUCCAGGAAAAGCCUCUAAGCUUCAGAUUGUAAGGAAUCGUACCCCAAACCGACACAGGUGGUCGGGUAGAGAAUACCAAGGCGCUUGAGAGAACUCGGGUGAAGGAACUAGGCAAAAUGGUACCGUAACUUCGGGAGAAGGUACGCUCUCGACGGUGAAGUCCCUCGCGGAUGGAGCUAUUGAGAGUCGCAGAUACCAGGUGGCUGCAACUGUUUAUUAAAAACACAGCACUGUGCAAAAUCGUAAGAUGACGUAUACGGUGUGACGCCUGCCCGGUGCCGGAAGGUUAAUUGAUGGGGUUAGACUUCGGUCGAAGCUCUUGAUCGAAGCCCCGGUAAACGGCGGCCGUAACUAUAACGGUCCUAAGGUAGCGAAAUUCCUUGUCGGGUAAGUUCCGACCUGCACGAAUGGCGUAAUGAUGGCCACGCUGUCUCCACCCGAGACUCAGUGAAAUUGAAAUCGCUGUGAAGAUGCAGUGUACCCGCGGCUAGACGGAAAGACCCCGUGAACCUUUACUACAGCUUGGCACUGAACAUUGACCCUACAUGUGUAGGAUAGGUGGGAGGCUUUGAAGCACGUACGCCAGUAUGUGUGGAGCCGUCCUUGAAAUACCACCCUUGUAGUGUUGAUGUUCUAACGUCGACCCCUAAUCGGGGUUGCGGACAGUGCCUGGUGGGUAGUUUGACUGGGGCGGUCUCCUCCCAAAGAGUAACGGAGGAGCACGAAGGUGGGCUAAUCACGGUUGGACAUCGUGAGGUUAGUGCAAUGGCAUAAGCCCGCUUGACUGCGAGAAUGACAAUUCGAGCAGGUGCGAAAGCAGGUCAUAGUGAUCCGGUGGUUCUGAAUGGAAGGGCCAUCGCUCAACGGAUAAAAGGUACUCCGGGGAUAACAGGCUGAUACCGCCCAAGAGUUCAUAUCGACGGCGGUGUUUGGCACCUCGAUGUCGGCUCAUCACAUCCUGGGGCUGAAGUCGGUCCCAAGGGUAUGGCUGUUCGCCAUUUAAAGUGGUACGCGAGCUGGGUUUAGAACGUCGUGAGACAGUUCGGUCCCUAUCUGCCGUGGGCGUUGGAAGAUUGAAGGGGGCUGCUCCUAGUACGAGAGGACCGGAGUGGACGAACCUCUGGUGUUCGGGUUGUGUCGCCAGACGCAUUGCCCGGUAGCUAAGUUCGGAAUCGAUAACCGCUGAAAGCAUCUAAGCGGGAAGCGAGCCCUGAGAUGAGUCUUCCCUGAUACUUUAAGUAUCCUAAAGGGUUGUCGGAGACUACGACGUUGAUAGGUCAGGUGUGUAAGUGCUGUGAGGCAUUGAGCUAACUGAUACUAAUUGCCCGUGAGGCUUAACCAUACAACACCCAAGGGGUUU
rnacentral:rRNA from 1 species